rnacentral:lncRNA from 1 species
AUUUGCAUGAAUUGGUAUGUACGCUUAUGAUUUUUUUUUUUUUGUUUUUUUUGAGAGAUAGCUAGCACGCUACCCGCUUUGUUUAUUUCAUUUAGAAAUAAACUUAGCUGAAAAUAUGAAUCAAGUAGGAUUUGAACUUGGGUCUCGGGUACCAACCACCAAACCCUUUGCCACUACGCUUAUGAAAUUAUAUAAACAUUUAUUAAUGCUA